rnacentral:lncRNA from 1 species
GGGUCGGCGUAAUAAAUUUUAUUUCUUCCUUUCCCUCCGUAAGAAGAAACACUGCUUAGAUGGUGGGCCUGCCCUCACCAAACAGGAAUUUCUAUUAAGAUUAAGUUAGCAAGAGAAGAUAACCCUGAGCCUUGUCCCCCACGCCGAAAACCCUCCCCAGGUGAUGGACAAUUAUGAUAGCUUCUUGUAGCCGAACGUGAUGUAUGCUGAACGCUACGCGUAAAACACGCGUCUAAAAACUGCCCCCUCCUUUCCAAGUAAGUGCAUUUAUUUCCUGUAUGUCCAACUGACAGAUGACCGCAAUAAUGAAUGAGCAGUUAGAAACGCAUUAUGCUUGAAAUGUUGUAACCUAUUCCUGAAUGCCUUCUUGUUUUCCAAAGGAGUGGUCAGGCCCUUGCCCAGUACACGCUCCUGGAAGAGCUGCAGCAGGUGAGGCAGGGCGCUGGCCACUGAACCACGCCAGGGUGUACUCUCCACUGAAGUCCACUUUCAAUUGCUUCCAUGCAAUAAAACCAAGUGCUUCUG